rnacentral:tRNA from 1 species
GCCUUUAUGGUGUAAUGUUCAGCACACUCGGCUCGUAUUCGACAGUUCCAAGGUUCGAGUCUCGGUGAAGGCA